rnacentral:rRNA from 1 species
GAUGAACGCUAGCGGGAGGCUUAACACAUGCAAGUCGAGGGGUAAAUGGCAGCAAUGCUAUGAGACCGGCGAACGGGUGCGUAACGCGUAUGCAACUUACCUUUAACUGGAGGAUAACCCCUCGAAAGAGGGACUAAUAUUCCAUAGUAAUCAGAGAAGGCAUCUUUUUUGGUUUAAAGCUCCGGCGGUUAAAGAUGGGCAUGCGUGACAUUAGUUAGUUGGUGAGGUAAUAGCUCACCAAGACGAUGAUGUCUAGGGGUUCUGAGAGGAUGAUCCCCCACACUGGUACUGAGACACGGACCAGACUCCUACGGGAGGCAGCAGUAAGGAAUAUUGGGCAAUGGAGGCAACUCUGACCCAGCCAUGCCGCGUGAAGGAUGACGGCCCUAUGGGUUGUAAACUUCUUUUAUACGGGAAUAAACCCGGGUACGUGUACCCGGCUGAAUGUACCGUAAGAAUAAGGAUCGGCUAACUCCGUGCCAGCAGCCGCGGUAAAACGUGCGUG